GAUGAACGCUAGCUACAGGCUUAACACAUGCAAGUCGAGGGGAAACGGCAUUAAGUGCUUGCACUUUUUGGACGUCGACCGGCGCACGGGUGAGUAACGCGUAUCCAACCUUCCCAUGACUAAGGGAUAACCUGCCGAAAGGCAGACUAAUACCUUAUGGUCUUCACUGACGGCAUCAGAUGUGAAGUAAAGAUUUAUCGGUUAUGGAUGGGGAUGCGUCUGAUUAGCUUGUUGGCGGGGUAACGGCCCACCAAGGCAACGAUCAGUAGGGGUUCUGAGAGGAAGGUCCCCCACAUUGGAACUGAGACACGGUCCAAACGCCUACGGGAGGCAGCAGUGAGGAAUAUUGGUCAAUGGGCGAGAGCCUGAACCAGCCAAGUAGCGUGCAGGAGGACGGCCCUAUGGGUUGUAAACUGCUUUUGUAUGGGGAUAAAGUCAAUCACGUGUGAUUGUUUGCAGGUACCAUACGAAUAAGGACCGGCUAAUUCCGUG
rnacentral:rRNA from 1 species